GUAAAUAUUGUGAAAAGCAGGAUCCUACACUUGCUGUUGUUGCUUAUAGACGUGGGCAGUGUGACGAUGAACUUAUUAACGUCACUAACAAGAAUUCGUUAUUCAAGCUGCAAGCUAGGUAUGUGGUUGAGAGAAUGGAUGGUGAUCUGUGGGAUAAAGUUCUUCAGCCCGAGAAUGAAUAUAGAAG